rnacentral:rRNA from 1 species
AGAGUUUGAUCCUGGCUCAGAACGAACGCUGGCGGCGUGCCUAACACAUGCAAGUCGAACGGAGUGAAGGAGCUUGCUCUUUCAUUUAGUGGCGCACGGGUGAGUAACGCGUAGAUAAUCUGCCUUGGACUCUGGGAUAACAUCUCGAAAGGGGUGCUAAUACCGGAUAAGCCCACGAUGGCGUAAGUCAUUGCGGGAAAAGGGGGCCUCUGAAUAUGCUCCUGAUUCAAGAUGAGUCUGCGUACCAUUAGCUAGUUGGUAGGGUAAGAGCCUACCAAGGCGACGAUGGUUAGCUGGUCUGAGAGGAUGAUCAGCCACACUGGAACUGAGACACGGUCCAGACUCCUACGGGAGGCAGCAGUGGGGAAUUUUGCGCAAUGGGGGAAACCCUGACGCAGCAACGCCGCGUGAGUGAUGAAGGCUUUC